rnacentral:rRNA from 1 species
UACGUAGGGUGCAAGCGUUGUCCGGAAUUAUUGGGCGUAAAGAGCUCGUAGGCGGUUUGUUGCGUCGGCUGUGAAAUCCCGAGGCUCAACCUCGGGUCUGCAGUCGAUACGAGCAAACUAGAGUGUUGCAGGGGAGACUGGAAUUGCUGGUGUAGCGGUGAAAUGCGCAGAUAUCAGGAGGAACACCGGUGGCGAAGGCGGGUCUCUGGGCAACAACUGACGCUGAGGAGCGAAAGCGUGGGGAGCGAACAGG